rnacentral:rRNA from 1 species
UGCAGUCGAGCGAAUGGAUUAAGAGCUUGCUCUUAUGAAGUUAGCGGCGGACGGGUGAGUAACACGUGGGUAACCUGCCCAUAAGACUGGGAUAACUCCGGGAAACCGGGGCUAAUACCGGAUAACAUUUUGAACUGCAUGGUUCGAAAUUGAAAGGCGGCUUCGGCUGUCACUUAUGGAUGGACCCGCGUCGCAUUAGCUAGUUGGUGAGGUAACGGCUCACCAAGGCAACGAUGCGUAGCCGACCUGAGAGGGUGAUCGGCCACACUGGGACUGAGACACGGCCCAGACUCCUACGGGAGGCAGCAGUAGGGAAUCUUCCGCAAUGGACGAAAGUCUGACGGAGCAACGCCGCGUGAGUGAUGAAGGCUUUCGGGUCGUAAAACUCUGUUGUUAGGGAAGAACAAGUGCUAGUUGAAUAAGCUGGCACCUUGACGGUACCUAACCAGAAAGCCACGGCUAACUACGUGCCAGCAGCCGCGGUAAUACGUAGGUGGCAAGCGUUAUCCGGAAUUAUUGGGCGUAAAGCGCGCGCAGGUGGUUUCUUAAGUCUGAUGUGAAAGCCCACGGCUCAACCGUGGAGGGUCAUUGGAAACUGGGAGACUUGAGUGCAGAAGAGGAAAGUGGAAUUCCAUGUGUAGCGGUGAAAUGCGUAGAGAUAUGGAGGAACACCAGUGGCGAAGGCGACUUUCUGGUCUGUAACUGACACUGAGGCGCGAAAGCGUGGGGAGCAACAGGAUUAGAUACCUGGUAGUCACGCCGUAAACGAUGAGUGCUAAGUGUAGAGGUUUCGCCCUUUAGUGCUGAAGUAACGCAUAAGCACUCCGCCUGGGGAGUACGCCGCAAGCUGAACUCAAAGAAUUGACGGGGCCCGCACAAGCGGUGGAGCAUGUGGUUUAAUCGAAGCACGCGAAGACCUUACAGGUCUUGACAUCCUCUGAAACCCUAGAGAUAGGCUUCUCCUUCGGGAGCAGAGUGACAGGUGGUGCAUGGUUGUCGUCAGCUCGUGUCGUGAGAUGUUGGGUUAAGUCCCGCAACGAGCGCACCCUUGAUCUUAGUUGCCAUCAUUAAGUUGGGCACUCUAAGGUGACUGCCGGUGACAACCGGAGGAAGGUGGGGAUGACGUCAAAUCAUCAUGCCCCUUAUGACCUG